GUGAUAGGCUCCUUUGUUUUUCUGGAACCGCUCCAUACAUCUGGCUGUUCCCAAGGUGUGCAGCUGUAGUUCAUCAUGGAGGCAGCGGAACCACUGCUGCAGCACUUCAUGCUGGUGUUCCCCAGGUUGUCUUCUACUAACUACAAAGUACCCUUUCAUUUUUACUUUUGUAAUAGAAUUUUCCAAAACAUGGAUGGCAUGAAAAUAAAAUAUAAUUUUGCAUUUUAACUGCUGAUCUUCCAACCAUGCAUGGGACAGCCAAGCAGGGAAUGAUGAUAAGUCUUCUUGCUUUAAUUUUGAAUUCUUCCUUUACGACUCUAUUGAAAAUGCCUCCAAUCUUUCAUGGGGCCGGCCAUCAAAGUCUUUAAAAUGCAUUCAUCAUUAGUUUUGACCUAUAAUUUUUACCUUUGGAAUCAGUUUUGAAUGCAUUAAAUGAACUUGACCACAAAUUUUGAUUCAUCAAGAAAAAAAUUUAGAUGAGAAAAUCAAUCCAAACAGGCUAUAGUUUGGGUCUAUCAAAGAUCAACCCAAUUAAAGUAUGACAAACUUAUCAUUUGCAUCUUUGACCUUCAUCUAAGUGAUAGUUAUUAUUCUUAAAAUUAUAAUCAAUUCAUAAAUAUUGCGAACCUUAGUACUUUCAUUUUUAUUUAAUUCUAUUUUCUUGAAAUAUGAAAGUUCGUUUCAUGUUUCAUGUCUUAAAUUUAGGCUUGGGGAUUGCAUUUAGGGAUAAAAAUCAUUUUUAUGCAUUCUUAUCUAUUCUAAUUAUUUAUUUAAAUUUUGUUAUCCCUUUUGUACGUCAAUAAAUAGGAAAUUAAGAUGGGUUUUAUCAUCAGUUAGUUUUGGGCUGAAUCAAAAUUUCAAUUUCAAUACUCCUUCAAUUUCUCUAGCAAUGGAUCUUUCCUAUCCCCAUACUAUCACACCGGGGUCCGGUUGCCGGGGACACGAUUAAGGGAUAAAAAGACAUGUUUUGAGCAUGCAUAUACAAGAGAUAUAACAUUAUAUAUAUAUAUAUAUAU